CUGACCUCAAAUCGGGUGAGACUACCCGCUGAACUUAAGCA
rnacentral:rRNA from 1 species